GACGAACGCUGGCGGCGUGCUUAACACAUGCAAGUCGAACGGAAAGACCCUUCUUUUGUGGGGUGCUCGAGUGUCGAACGGAUGAGUAACACGUUAGUAACCUGCCCUUGACUUUGGGAUAACUUCAGUAAACUGUGGCUAAUACCGGAUAGGAGCUCCUCCUCCAUGGUGGGGGUUGGCAAGUUUUGGCGGUUGGGGAUGGACUCUCGGCUUAUCAGCUUGUUGGUGGGGUAGUGGCUUACCAAGUCUUUGACGGGUAGCCGGCGUGAGAGGGUGACCGGCCACAUUGGGACUGAGAUACGGCCGAGACUCCUACGGGAGGCAGCAGUAGGGAAUAUUGCACAAUGGGCGGAAGAAUGAUGCAGCAACGACGCGGGCGGGAGGAAGGACUUCGGGUUGUAAACCGCUUUCGCCUGUGACGAAGCGUGAGUGACGGUAAUGGGUAAAGAAGCACCGGCUAACUACGUG
rnacentral:rRNA from 1 species